rnacentral:rRNA from 1 species
CGCGUAGGUAACCUGCCUGGUAGCGGGGGAUAACUAUUGGAAACGAUAGCUAAUACCGCAUAAGAGUAGAUGUUGCAUGACAUUUGCUUAAAAGGUGUAAUUGCAUCACUACCAGAUGGACCUGCGUUGUAUUAGCUAGUUGGUGGGGUAACGGCUCACCAAGGCGACGAUACAUAGCCGACCUGAGAGGGUGAUCGGCCACACUCGGACUGAGACACGGCCCAG